rnacentral:rRNA from 1 species
UACGUAGGGACCGAGCGUUGUCCGGAUUCAUUGGGCGUAAAGAGCUCGUAGGCGGCCACUCAAGUCGAAUGUGAAACCUCGAGGCUUAACCUCGAGCCUGCAUUCGAUACUGGGCGGCUAGAGUCUGGUAGGGGGAUCUGGAAUUCCUGGUGUAGCGGUGGGAUGCGCAGAUAUCAGGAGGAACACCGGUGGCGAAGGCGGAUCUCUGGGCCUUACCUGACGCUGGAGGCGCGAAAGCUAGGGGAGCGAACAGG